UGGGGAAUUUUGGACAAUGGGGGCAACCCUGAUCCAGCAAUGCCGCGUGUGUGAAGAAGGCCUUCGGGUUGUAAAGCACUUUUGUCCGGAAAGAAAACGCCGUGGUUAAUACCCGUGGCGGAUGACGGUACCGGAAGAAUAAGCACCGGCUAACUACGUGCCAGCAGCCGCGGUAAUACGUAGGGUGCAAGCGUUAAUCGGAAUUACUGGGCGUAAAGCGUGCGCAGGCGGUCCGCUAAGACAGAUGUGAAAUCCCCGGGCUUAACCUGGGAACUGCAUUUGUGACUGGCGGGCUAGAGUAUGGCAGAGGGGGGUAGAAUUCCACGUGUAGCAGUGAAAUGCGUAGAGAUGUGGAGGAAUACCGAUGGCGAAGGCAGCCCCCUGGGCCAAUACUGACGCUCAUGCACGAAAGCGUGGGGGAGCAAACAGGAUUAGAUACCCUGGUAGUCCACGCCCUAAACGAUGUCAACUAGUUGUCGGGUCUUCAUUGACUUGGUAACGUAGCUAACGCGUGAAGUUGACCGCCUGGGGAGUACGGUCGCAAGAUUAAAAACUCAAAUGAAUUGAC
rnacentral:rRNA from 1 species